UCCUCAGAGGUGAAGACCUUGCUUACCCGGAAUACGAUUCCGAUGAUUCGGUUAAGGAUCCGAAUUAUAGCACUGUUGAAGAGUAACGCCAAGGCGCGGAACAACGAUGACAAAAGGGAGGCAUUAGAUAACCUAGAUAUAAUACUUUUUCCUUUAUUUGAAGGCUUGAGAAAAGAGUGAACGAGGUCGAGCAGUGUUACUUGAGGAAAGGCAGUCUGCAACCAACCACUUCGAAGGAGAAAGACAAAGAAACAUUUUAAUACAAUUAAGAAGCAGCAGCAAGAUGCAUCACGUAGGGAAGCCGCUGCUGCAAAGAGGAUUCGAGAUCUGUUGAAUAAGUUUUCCUCAAUCUUCAAACAGGGCAAAAACAAUACUUAAUAAGUCAGUAACUGGGAGUGUAGCUGCAGAUGGGAUGUGCAAGUCACCUUCUAAAGA